rnacentral:sRNA from 1 species
GUCAGCACCCCGCUCUGAAGAGACGGGGCUUCAUGCCUCUAACUUUAGAUAGCUGACCAGCCUCAGCCUAACGGCUACGUUUUCUGGAUCAUAAUACCCACGAAUGCGACGCUAGUUUGUGGCUCUAUU